AGGACGAACGCUGGCGGCGUGCUUAACACAUGCAAGUCGAGCGGAAAGGCCCUUCGGGGUACUCGAGCGGCGAACGGGUGAGUAACACGUGAGCAAUCUGCCCUUAGCUUCGGGAUAGCUCCGGGAAACCGGAAUUAAUACCGAAUAUGACUCCGGCCGACAUCGGCUGUGGUGGAAAGUUUUUCGGCUAGGGAUGAGCUCGCGGCCUAUCAGCUUGUUGGUGAGGUAACGGCUCACCAAGGCGACGACGGGU
rnacentral:rRNA from 1 species